ACCCUGCUCUUGGGGACAUCCGAUAAAAUUGGAAUGAUACAGAGAAGAUUAGCAUGGCCCCUGAGCAAGGAUGACACACACAAAUCGAGAAAUGAUAUUAGAGCCU